AGGGAGCUGAAAUUGUAAAGUCAAGAGGGUUGGACGGGCAAAUGCUCCUCAUCGGAGUUAAUUGCCAACCUUCUUACGGAGCUGGAGCCAGGAGGAGGGCGUCAGUUCGUUAACGCUCAUGCGUUGGUACAGACCCUCAAAACCAAGUCUCAACAGUUCAAGCUCCGGAAACCACGUCUGAGACCCCUCCGAGUUCCCGUUCUGGACACCAGAGUAAACCUCAGACCCACGCUCUACGGAGGCCCUCCUUCCUGCGCUCGCCUGCCUGUCCACCCUCACACCACUACCUCUGGAGAGAACCUACCAGCUCUGCACCUCCCAUUAACAUCACUGGACUACACCCCCUCAAGCUCAAGCCUCACCGUCAUCCCAAAAACUAAGGUUCAUGUUUUCCGACCAUCUACACGGAGCAGAUUAUUAAAGGGAAAUGCAAAGAAACACCCUCAUUGCUCGAGCCAGAACUGAACACACAUUGCCAUCCAGUUGAAUCAACUCCUACAAGCAGGGUAACAAGAAGAGGACUGACGAAGCUGGGGAAGAUGAAGCCAGAGAACUAUGAUUUUGUAUCCUGAUAUGGAGGAGAGAUGCCUGAGAAUUCCCAAGCCGACCACUCAUACGCAAUUAGAUUCAGGUCUAUCAUGUGUUCUAAAUGGCCUGAAGGCUUUCUUUACAUUGUAUUCUUGACAUACUGACUCUUUUUAUAUUAUAUUACUGUGAUUUUUAACUGCCCCGUUUCUCUGACUUACAUGGUCCUGUUUGAUUGUAUGAGUUAUGACAUUUAC